rnacentral:rRNA from 1 species
AGUGAACGCUGGCGGUAGGCCUAACACAUGCAAGUCGAACGGCAGCACAGUAAGAGCUUGCUCUUACGGGUGGCGAGUGGCGGACGGGUGAGGAAUACAUCGGAAUCUACUUUUUCGUGGGGGCUAACGUAGGGAAACUUACGCUAAUACCGCAUACGACCUCCGGGUGAAAGCAGGGGAUCUUCGGACCUUGCGCGAUUGUAUGAGCCGAUGUCGGAUUAGCUAGUUGGCGGGGGAAAGGCCCACCAAGGCGACGAUCCGUAGCUGGUCUGAGAGGAUGAUCAGCCACCCUGGAACUGAGACAGGGUCCAGACUCCUACGGGAGGCAGCAGUGGGGAAUAUUGGACAAUGGGCGCAAGCCUGAUCCAGCAAUACCGCGUGGGUGAAGAAGGCCUUCGGGUUGUAAAGCCCUUUUGUUGGGAAAGAAAAGCAGCAGGUUAACACCCCGCUGUUCUGACGGUACCCAAAGAAUAAGCACCGGCUAACUUCGUG